rnacentral:rRNA from 1 species
UACGUAGGGUGCGAGCGUUGUCCGGAAUUAUUGGGCGUAAAGAGCUUGUAGGCGGUCUGUCGCGUCUGCUGUGAAAAUCCGGGGCUCAACCCCGGACUUGCAGUGGGUACGGGCAGACUAGAGUGUGGUAGGGGAGACUGGAAUUCCUGGUGUAGCGGUGAAAUGCGCAGAUAUCAGGAGGAACACCGAUGGCGAAGGCAGGUCGCUGGGCCGCAACUGACGCUGAGGAGCGAAAGCAUGGGGAGCGAACAGG